GACGAACGCUGGCGGCGUGCCUAAUACAUGCAAGUCGAACGCACAGUUUAUACCGUAGCUUGCUACACCAUAGACUGUGAGUUGCGAACGGGUGAGUAACGCGUAGGUAACCUGUCUGGUAGCGGGGGAUAACUAUUGGAAACGAUAGCUAAUACCGCAUAAUAUUGAUUAUUGCAUGAUAAUUGAUUGAAAGAUGCUAUUGCAUCACUACCAAAUGGACCUGCGUUGUAUUAGCCAGUAGGUGAGGUAACGGCUCACCUAGGCGACGAUACAUAGCCGACCUGAGAGGGUGAUCGGCCACACUGGGACUGAGACACGGCCCAGACUCCUACGGGAGGCAGCAGUAGGGAAUCUUCGGCAAUGGACGAAAGUCUGACCGAGCAACGCCGCGUGAGUGAAGAAGGUUUUCGGAUCGUAAAGCUCGGUUGUAAGAGAAGAACGGGUGUGAGAGUGGAAAGUUCACACUGUGACGGUAGCUUACCAGAAAGGGACGGCUAACUACGUG
rnacentral:rRNA from 1 species